CGAUUCGAGCGAAAGCGAGAAAGCGUUGCCGCAGGCAACGACCCGAAGGGCGAAGCGCGCAGCGCUGAGUAAUCCUUCCCCCACCACCA
rnacentral:sRNA from 2 species